rnacentral:rRNA from 1 species
AUUGAACGCUGGCGGCAUGCCUUACACAUGCAAGUCGAACGGCAGCACGGGUGCUCGCACCUGGUGGCGAGUGGCGAACGGGUGAGUAAUAUAUCGGAACAUACCCUAGAGUGGGGGAUAACGUAGCGAAAGUUACGCUAAUACCGCAUACGAACUAAGGUUGAAAGUGGGGGAUCGCAAGACCUCAUGCCCAUGGAGUGGCCGAUAUCUGAUUAGCUAGUUGGUGAGGUAAAGGCUCCCCAAGGCGAAGAUAAGUAGCUGGUUUGAGAGAACGACCAGCCACACUGGAACUGAGACACGGUCCAGACUCCUACGGGAGGCAGCAGUGGGGAAUUUUGGACAAUGGGGGCAACCCUGAUCCAGCAAUGCCGCGUGAGUGAAGAAGGCCCUCGGGUUGUAAAGCUCUUUUGUCAGGGAAGAAACGGUCUACUCUAAUACAGUGGGCUAAUGACGGUACCUGAAGAAUAAGCACCGGCUAACUACGUGCCAGCCGCCGCCGUAAAAC